CAAAGAGUGAAUCCAAAACAACACAGAACUACAGAGAAGCAAAUUCUCAAACUCAGCCCUCUUCAUUAACCACCAAUCUUCACAAAAGGAACACUAUAUAGAUAUAUACAACCUGCCAAGAGUUGGAGAGGUACUAACCCACUUUCGAGCAAGAGGAGUCCCCCGCCCGUGAGGAGCAGGGGAGAUCACGAAAUCUGGCAGAUAAAGAGUAAGAAACCCUAAAACCAAAGACCAAAAUCAG
rnacentral:misc_RNA from 1 species